rnacentral:tRNA from 1 species
GGUCUUAUAGUAAAAUAGAUAACAUUGGGUUGCAAACCUGAAGAUGUGUAGAGAACACUAGGA